UGUUACCAUACUUAAUACAAGAUUGCCAGGGUACAAUUUGCUAGAUCAUAGAUAUAAAUGCUUAAGUAUGAGUAAAUUUUCUCAUCUUUCUUUUUCUUUUGAACUAUGACUGGGUGUAGAUAUUAUGCUGUUUAUGCACUUCAGCUGCAUAAUCUACUGGCUGGUGCUUUUGGUUUACAUCUGUCCCAAAUAUUAUUUGCAAUAGGGUACAAACUAUAGCAUAGCCUUUUGCUGUUUGGACCAUUAAAGUAUAUGUAGAGUAUUUUCUUGCCUGCUAGUUUAGUUGCUCUUUGGAGUGACAGUAUAUCAGAUUGGAUUAUUCUUCAAAAGAAAUGUAGAGUGUCCCCAAAAUAUUGCCAUAUUAUAUAUUGGAUUCUGAAAUUUGGUCUCAAGUAAAGUGGGACAAGAAUAUGAACUUUAUUCUCUUGGUUCAACACUCAAAUUUCAUUAUUUCAGUUUAAAAAAUCUAAAUUUCUAUUCUAGGAUUGUCUGAUACAGACAUCUAUCCUUGUUAAACAGAAAACACUGUAUUGGAAAAGAAAUGAUGAAGCAGAAGCUGCCACCAAUGUGGGAACUUUUGAGCUAAUCAAUUUUAAGGAGCUGCCUAUACGACAAUGGACUCAAGAUUAUAAAGAAUUUCUUGAAUCAAUUAUGACAGGAAAUGAUAAAAUCAAGGACCCAUUUAUCAAGGAUUACAGAGAGCACAACGAUGACACCACCGUACACUUUGAAGUUAUUAUGUCCGAGGAGAACUUGAUCAUGGCAAAGCAAGAGGGCUUGCUAAAGAAAUUUAAACUCACCACAACUAUCAGCACAAGCAACAUGCAUCUGUUCGACCCAAAAGGCGUGAUUAAGAAAUAUGAAACCCCUGAACAGAUUCUUGAAGAAUUCUUCCACGAAUCAGAGGUCAUCUGUCAAACUUAGGUGUGAGGUUCACAUCUUAUCAUGGGAAUUUUAUGCUUAGGUCCACUGAUUUAUUAGCGCUUCCAGCUGUAGACUGUGAUAAAGCUUACGCAAUGCAGAUGGGUCUUGAAGAAACAUUAUUGACCACUCAGACUGUAUAUUUCCAAGAUGCUUUGUUGUAUCCUUUAGCUGAUGCAUAAGAAAUUCAAGCAUGCUUCUCUUGGCGUGUGGCAGAUGCCUUUUGGAAAUUUGCUUAUUAUAGAAACUUCUUGGUUUCAUUUUCAAUUUUUCAUGCCUUCACAAAGCUAAAGAAAUACUUGGUUAUAAUUUUUCUUAUUGCUAAGCCAUUUGCUCAUGUAGGAUGGUCAUGACCACCCAAUGCAUAAGGUCCUUUUUAACCUUGAUAUCUGUACAGGACAUCUUUUUUCUGCUGUUUGGGUUAUUUUGACAAUCAUGACAAAUGUCUUUCAGAGAGACCUCUCUGAAUCAAAAUUCAUUACCCGACCAUCAGCAAGAAAAGUGAAACAUGUAUUUGCUAAUGAUUUAACCCCUUUGCGGUUGAAUAUCUGGAAAGGAAUUGUGUCCUCAACAAACUUGAGAGGAAGAUAGAAGUUUUUAACAUGGAUGGAAGGAGUUCAUUGAUGCU